rnacentral:rRNA from 1 species
ACUNACNAGGAUUCCCCUAGUAACGGCGAGUGAAGCGGGAUGAGCUCAAAUUUGAAAGCUGGUACCYYYGGUAUCCGCAUUGUAAUCUCGAGAAGUAGUUUCUGUGUUGGCCCAWGUACAAGUUCCUUGGAAUAGGACAUCAGAGAGGGUGAGAAUCCCCUACUUGACAUGGAUCCCMAUGCUUUGUGAUCUGCUCUCMAUGAGUCGAGUUGUUUGGGAAUGCAGCUCCAAAUGGGUGGUAAAUUCCAUCUAAAGCUAAAUAUUGGGGAGAGACCGAUAGCGAACSAGUACCGUGAGGGAAAGAUGAAAAGCACUUUGGAAAGAGAGUUAAACMGUACGUGAAAUUGUCAAAAGGGAAGCGCUUGAGGUUAGCUAUGCAUGCAAUAUUCAACCYUUCUUUUGAUGGGUGUAUUUGUUGUUUUGCAGGCCMGCMUCGGUUUUGUCUGCUGGAUAAUAGUAGGAGAAAUGUGGCACCYUCGGGUGUGUUAUAGUCUUCUAUUUGAUACAGKRGHYGGGAAUGRGGACCGCCGGGU